CAGUUAUUGGAUUGACCUAAGAGCCAAGAUUGGUAAGUUUACCUGGACUCAGGAUAACACCGAGCCAAAAUUCAUGCGCUUCGAAACAGGAUAUCCAAAAUCUCCGGAUACUGAUUCGUAUUGUGUUUUUUUAACUCCACAUAAAAAAUGGCACAAUGGAGUUUGUAACAAGAGCAGGCAGUUUGUUUGUGAAAGCAAUUUAUGUUACUGAUAACAUGUGAUGAGAAGCAUUCUGAUGAGUAAUAGAAAUAAAAUUGCAUGCAACAUCAUAA